rnacentral:lncRNA from 1 species
AGCAAAGUCUUAAGCAACAAGCUUCAAUGACUUGCAGUACACAACAAAGGAAUCAAGCUUUUGAACUAAGAAUGAAACUUCUUAUCUUAGAACCAAAACGAGAAGAAAAAUUACUGAAAGAUUCAACAUCAUUGAUAACUGAAGUUUACACCCUUUUAAAAAAGUAAUCAGCUUGAGUAAAAAAAACAGUCAACUAAAACAUACCUAACAUCACUAAUUCAUCUUGAAACUUAUAAAAAUUAAUUUGUACACAUAAAUAAGCUGAUUUGAUCAAGUCAAUCAGCACCUAAUCAAAACAAACACAUUACUAACUUAGUUCAAAUGUAACUAAGUAACAAAAUACAAACAAGGUCAGCAUGUUGUCCUGCUACAAGAUGCAUGCGACAAAAUAUUGACUUGGUUGCAUGUAAGCCAUUCUUUAACACUCCUCAUUGGCUUUCAUGCUACAAACUCCCAAAUUAACUCUUUAGUUCUCGAACCUUGCUAUUCCAAGAGGCUUUGUCAAGAUGUCUGUCAACUAAUCUUC